AUUGAACGCUGGCGGCAGGCUUAACACAUGCAAGUCGAGCGGGGUGAUGGUGCUUGCACUAUCACUUAGCGGCGGACGGGUGAGUAAUGCUUAGGAAUCUGCCUAUUAGUGGGGGACAACAUCUCGAAAGGGAUGCUAAUACCGCAUACGUCCUACGGGAGAAAGCAGGGGAUCACUUGUGACCUUGCGCUAAUAGAUGAGCCUAAGUCGGAUUAGCUAGUUGGUGGGGUAAAGGCCUACCAAGGCGACGAUCUGUAGCGGGUCUGAGAGGAUGAUCCGGCACACUGGGACUGGGACACGGCCCAGGCUCCUACGGGGGGCAGCAGUGGGGAAUAUUGGACAAUGGGGGGAACCCUGAUCUAGCCAUGCCGGGUGUGUGAAGAAGGCCUUAUGGUUGUAAAGCACUUUAAGCGAGGAGGAGGCUCUUUUGGUUAAUACCCAAGAUGAGUGGACGUUACUCGCAGAAUAAGCACCGGCUAACUCUGUGCCAGCCGCCGCCGUAA
rnacentral:rRNA from 1 species